rnacentral:lncRNA from 1 species
UUCCUUUAAUUAAAAGAACCUCAAGCAAAAAGGCUUAAAGUCAAGCAAGAAGGGAAGAGAGAAACUGGGCUCUUGAGAACGAAAUCAGUGCCACUGAAAAAUAAAAUUCCUAAAUCCAUGCUUGUCAUCCUUCCCAUUUUUGUUUUUUUUUAAAGUUGCAUUUCUUCUCCACUGUAAGAUUUCAGAUUGAAGUUUGUGGUCCAAAACAUACCCUCAGCAGAAACAGUGAUUGAUUGGAAAGUGCAGUUGUUCAAGGUCUGUCAUGCUCAAUCACUUAAAGCUGUAAUUUGUUUGAUAUGAAUAUUAAGCAUGUAGACCUAGUGCAGCAUGGGAGCCACUCAGGAAGUUUAUGCAAUUAAUAAACUUUCAUGCAUAAUUUACUAUAAAAUAUGCAGAAUUUUAGCCACUUCUCUACACUUAACCUUUAGUUGUAUAUGUCAACUCUCCUUUCUUAAUUGGGGAAUGUAGCAUUAUAUGGAAUGUUGUUAAACCUAAUUUUAAUCC